GGUUGACAGACCGGACCUCGGGACGAUACAAUCCGGUGGUUACAGAAUUCCAUUCGUACGUAUAGAGAAGGUGGCGUUCUUCUUCCGACCCCAACGACUUCUCACUCCACCCCAGUUGCCCACCGUCCGUCUGGUCGAACUCAGAUCGCCCCCAUCGUCACCCCCUUUUGGAAGUCGCAGUCACCGCCGGCGACGAGGAUGAGGACGUGCCCCUCUCAAACCCCGAUCGAUCACGAUUUGUGGCAAAGUCGGGUUCGUGAUGCGGCAAUCCAAGACCCUCAAGAUCGGCGCUAACCAUCUUGUUGUACCGACGAUUUUGAUCCAGGAGGAUUUGGGAGACGAUAAGUCAUGCCUGUUGCAUUUUGCCGAUCGCGAAGUAGGAGAUGAUCUGCAUCCGCUUCGGCCGUGUGGAAAGAAUAAAGGCUGUCACACAACCAUAUCUAUGAACCAAAGCAUGGCCGCGCAUCAGGCAUCCAGUGAAGAAUAUUCGUCCCAAAUAUCUGUGCGUUGCAUCGGUCUCACCGCACGCAACUCAUAAAUUCCUUUCGGAUACAACCCACACUGACAACAAAACCCAUAUCAUUUCAGUUCUAUUUACGUGAGGAGACAUGAAAAGAUAAAAAGUAUCCAUCUCAUGUGAAUGCGUACAACACCAGAGUGUUCUGGACCCACAGAAAGAGCUACUCUCGACGGCAGCUAGCGAACAGCAAGCUUCCCCCUCCCCACCCUCCCCCACGGCUCUCUCUUGCAUGCCCACCAUCUUCCGCGUUCCAGAACAAGGCCAUGUCUCUUCACUUCGCCACAUCUCUGCAGCUUCUGUCCUUCAUGCAUCCUGCUCCAUCUUCUCUCACCCUCAAACCGCAGCCCCCGCCGGCUCCGCGGCCACGGACGAGUCGGCGAGCGAAGCCCGGCACAGCGGGCAGCUCGUGUGAGCCUUUAACCACUCGUCCACGCACUCCACAUGGAACGUGUGGCCGCAGCUGGGCAGCACUUUGACCUUAUCCCCCUCCGUCAGGCUACUCAGGCAUAUCGAGCACUGCGCCUCCUCGCCAGCCUCCAAGUCUCGGUGCAGGUGCACCGGGAAGCUGUCGAUGAUCCGCGGAUCGAGGCCUGCCGUGCGAUGCGAUGUCGCGGCCGACGACAUGCUCACCGGGGCGGUUUCGGCCCCCCAUUGCGGAUGGUGGCGGCACGCCCACCUCACGUAGAGGCAGAUGAGGGUGAAGAAGAGGAGAAUGGUAAAGGAGAUGAGGAGGAAGAGGAGACCCCGGCCACGGACGUGGAUGUUCUUGUCGUCGAGCGCGUCGUAGUGCCAACGGAAGGGCUGAGCGUCCUGUGCUGCCAUCCUCACCGGUGUUGGUGGUGGUGGUGGAUAUGGAUUCGAGUUUGGGCUUUUAUGAGGGUGGGGAUGGCUCGGCGAGUGGCUUCCAAAGGAUGAAAGCGUCGAGUGGUGCAAGAGGGUUUCGGCCCAUGCCAUGCCAUCCCAUUCACCUCGCUUUCCAGCUUGCCCUUCGUCUCACAUUAAAGAAAAGGGUAGUUUUGGCUCAUCUCAUUCACUGUUGUUGGUGGAGAUGGCGGUGUUUCUACGCAAAGAACGAAGAGCUGGCCAGGGAUGGCAGAGCCGUUCUGCAUGAAGGUUUCUAAUCCCCAGUUUUGGUAUAGGCUGAUACGAAAUAAAACUUCCAAUUAAAGGGCUGUGGCGGUCAGCAAUUAAUUGAGAGGUAAGAAGUCAGGAUACUUCUCGGUCCUUCCAGCUAAUUGCUGAGGGUGCGACAGGAGGGAUUUGGAAGCUUGCUUGUUGUGUAUCGAUUUGCUUCACGCACGCUAUCUUGCUUUAACCCCUCUGUUUGCCAGCACAAUGAGAAGUAGACAAGAUGUCGCUAAUGGUGUUGGGUUGCGCGACGUGAUGAUCACGCGCAUAAAUAAAUUCUUGAAAUAUACACACAUAGAAAGCGAAAUUACAUGGUACAUGAAUGACCAUAGUAAAGUUAUGAAUGUCUUGGAAAUGGCAUAUAAAUUUAGUAUUCUACAGGUGAUUGUAUAGUUGAAGCCCAGUGGGCCACAAGCCCAAUUGCAAUGAUGGUGGGUGUAGGUGUGGGAGAUUUAAGCAUUUGCUGGUGUAAAGGGUUCGCAAGAAGAAGCACAGCAAGUUUUAAUACAUGUGCUUGGGAAAUUUGGAAAAGAAGGGGUCCUUUCCUGAUUAUGUUUCGCUUUUGUUUGACAAUUUAUUGCCAAGAUAAAUAGUUCGGGGGCUAUGUACGGUGACUGUGUGGGUGGCACGUGUCGACUCGCCAAUUCGACUCCGUACAUCUUAUUUCCUGUAGGACACCGGUGCAGGGCACAGGAGCCUUUAACACUUGGCGGGCAAGAUAAGCGAAUCGUGUGAAAGGUUGCCCUUCUAUGAUGAGCUUAGAUCAAUAUCAAUGGGCCUUAUACGUCCAACUCAAUGUGUAUGGGUAGUAUGCCUCAAUUUGCCAGCGUAGUGGUGCGAUUGGGUCUACCCCUUUAAAACGCUAAGCCCAACAUCAAACCCAAACUAAAGCAUAUAUAUAUAUAUACACACACUCACACUGAAAGACCUCUCAACAUGUGAGGCCUCUCACCCUCUACUGCAAGAAAAAGAGGCGAUCAAGAAGCGCCAUGGCGGCGAUCCUCUCCGCCAUUUGAUUCGCUCUCUCUCUCUCUCUCCCUCCUGCCCCGAAAAGAUGCGAUCAAGAAGCGUCAUGGUGGCGAUCCUCUCCGCCAUUUGGUUCGGUAUCUCUCUCUCUCUCUCUCUCUCUCUCUCUCUCUCUCUCUGCUGCUGGAAAAAGAGGCGAUCAAGAAGCGCCAUGGCGGCGAUCCUCUCCGCCAUUUUAUUCGCUCUCUCUCUCCUGCCCGGAAAAGAUGCGAUCAAGAAGCGUCAUGGUGGCGAUCCUCUCCGCCAUUUGAUUCGGUAUCUCUCUCUCUCUCUCUCUCUCUCUCUCUCCUGCUGGAAAAAGAGGCGAUCCAGAAGCGCCAUGGCGGGGAUCCUCUCCGCUAUUUGAUCUGCGCGCGCGCUCGCUCUCUCUCUCCUGCCGGGAAAAGAGGCGAUCCAGAAGCGCCAUGGCGGGGAUCCUCUCCGCUAUUUGAUCCGCGCGCGCGCUCUCUCUCUCUAAAAGAAAAGGAGGCGGUCAAGAACCGCCAUGGCGGCAAUCCUCUCCGCCAUUUGAUUCGUGGCAUUCAGCCGAUGAGGGAAUCGGCUCCCCCCUCGAAUCUUGGAAGAGAAGCACCCAUGAUCCCUACUCAGUAAUGCUUCCGCGCCCUGCAGCGUCUCACGAUGCAUCCGUGUCCGGUUAAUCCUUGGACAAACGAGCGAGUUCCAAGCUUUGAUGUUAUCUGUUUAGGGUUUCUGUGCCCAUCUUUCUCUUUUCCUUUAUACUUGUUGCUUCGUAUGGUUAGUUAUUGCUGAUGAAAUCUGAGGUCGAAUUCAGAUUUAUGGCGUAAUCAGUUCCGUGAUUAUCUCAAGGAAGUUGGAGAAGAACGGGAUCGGGUUGAGGCGAGCGAUGUCUCAUUUGGCGUAUUCUAUUUCAGCAGCUGAAGCUUGAUGGGGAUUUCAGGGGCAUGCGGCGGACUCGUGGAGGCGGCAGAUCUCGUCGGCGCCGCCAACGCAGCGAGGAAGACCUGCGGGAGGGUGGGCCGGUGGCGGCCAAGGGCGGCCUGGAGCUCGGCGAGGGAGCGCGAAUCCACGGAGAGGUCGCGUUCGUCGAUGACGACGCGGAGGCCGCGAAGGAUGGAGCGGACGGCGCGGCAAUCCUCGAAGGUGCGGCGGACGACGUGGAGGGCGGGCUCGGUGGAUGACGCGCCGGAAGACGUAGGAGGGGUGUUCGUCGGCGUUGUCAUGGACGAUGGCUUGGAGGUCCCCGAGGUGGGAGGUGGAGCCAGCGGUGGCGGGGUAUCGACUAAUCUUCAUCCACGGCGACCACAUAAGGUCGAGAGAGAGAGAGAGAGAGAACUGACGCCUUCAACUGAUCGAUUUUCUUGUAUAUUUCUCUAAACGCAUAGAGCUCAUGUAUGGCAGAUUCGAAAAGUUCGAGGAGCUCAUGUAUAUUUCUCCAAUUUUUUUAAUUUAAUAUUUUACCCCAUUGACUUA